CUGCUGACAUGGGUGCACAUGCCGGGAAGCACUGAAGGACAUAAUUGGCGUUGUGAAAAAUUAUUGGGAAGCCAGGACGUUCCCUUGCAGUGAUCCCCCCCUUCUCUUUCCCAUCUGUCACCAUCUAAUGUGACAAAGUUUUUAUCAGGCAUUGAGGCAGAGGAGAUUAAAAGUAAAUACUGCAAUCAGGAAGCAGCUGGGGGGAAAAUGUAACACAUUUCACACUAAGCUGAACAGCUCAUCAACUUAGCCUUGUAUAUCUACGGCGGAUGAGAGGGAGGGAGGGCUGCAGGGGGUGGUGUGGCUCAACAUGCUUCUCCACACUGGGAGUCUGAAGAGGAUCCUCUACAAACACGACUUGUACCUUCUGGCACUUGCUUGCUUUGGGAAGGAAAAAGCCUCAGGAGCCCUGUGGGUCUCCAUUUUCUUUUGCAACAAACUCCUGUAAAACACUGUUUUCUCAGUCAUCAGUUUAUGAUUUUUUGGACUUCCUCCCUGCUGUAGUGAUGAUCUGGGUGCUACCAUGUCCUGUUCAGCUAGGAGGGCUUUACCAGACAUCUGUCUCUGGCUUUAUGGGCAUCCAGAUGCCACAGCAUCUCUGGGGAGCUGCAGGAUGAAAAGUUUGUUGACUAAAUGGGAGAUACAAUAAUGUUUCAGGCUCAUGAAACUGGACACCGAGAUAUUUAGUAUGCACUGCCCUGGGCACUGUUGCAUUCUGUCCAAACAGAUCUACCUGCAAAGGCCAAGAAACUGAAAACUUUGUAUCAUAUUGCUUUAUUCUUACUUGUGAAUAUAAAAUUUAAGGUUGUUGAGCACUAUCAGUCAUAUUUUCUCCUUGAAAAGCUUUUGGAAGUAUUUGUUUUCAUUCCCAAAAAUGUUGCCUUCUUCUUCAUUUUUUGCUGUGAUGCUAUCACAUGAGCUCAGUGCUGUUGAACAUGAAUAGACUGGCACAUGGGGAGGACUGUGAGAAUCUUCUCCUUAUCCCUAGGAUAAACAAAGCUUUGGAGAGUGAUACCGGCUUCCUUAGUAUCCCUGCUGCUGUUAAUGUGUCACCUGCUAUGCAAGCUGGGAGGUCACACGGAUACUUUUGUGAAGGACAUCUAGCCAGCUCUGCUCACCUUGUGAAGCAUUGUCCCAGUGCAGAUUAGUUGCUCUCCCUUGGCAUCUAACAGGUGAAUUGAAACUAUUCAUAGACACAGCCCAGACAGUUCCUGUUGCAGUUUCUGUUCUUUGACUCUUUUGCGUUUGCCAGAUGAACAAUUUGCGCUGUGGAGGGUGCAGAGCCAGAUUCAGUGAAAAAGGCAUUUGCUGUGAUGACCUGUGUGAGAAUUAAUGUAAUCAGCAGAGUAUGGGACUUGCUACCAAGGAGGUGACAGCAUCAGUGCCUAGCAUGACGUCACUGACAACUUGGGGGUAAGUUAUUAAUUCCUUGUUUUGGAACAAAUACACACAGUAGGCAGCUGCAGGUAGCAUGCUUAUGGAGAUACCUUUUUCUUGUGAAAAUGUCCAGAGGAUUGACAGCAACAGCUCAGCAACAUGCUCCAGGACACACAGCAAUCACAAGCUCCAGAAUGAGCCAUUGAUGCAACUUUUCUGAAUGUGUUCCACAUGAAAAACAAUGCCCAAAGAGAGUUGAGUCCCAGUCCAAGCUAAUUCAGCCAACACAGUGAUUAGGUCUCCCAGAAUUUGAG
ensembl:lncRNA